AACGAACGCUGGCGGCAGGCUUAACACAUGCAAGUCGAACGCAUCCUUCGGGGUGAGUGGCAGACGGGUGAGUAACGCGUGGGAACGUGCCCUUCAGUUCGGGAUAACCCAGGGAGACUUGGGCUAAUACCGGAUACGUGCGAGAGCAGAAAGAUUUAUCGCUGAAGGAUCGGCCCGCGUCUGAUUAGCUAGUUGGUGGGGUAAUGGCCCACCAAGGCGACGAUCAGUAGCUGGUCUGAGCGGAUGAUCAGCCACAUUGGGACUGGGACACGGCCCAAACUCUUACGGGAGGCAGCAGUGGGGAAUAUUGGACAAUGGGCGCAAGCCUGAUCCAGCCAUGCCGCGUGAGUGAUGAAGGCCUUAGGGUUGUAAAGCUCUUUCGUCCGGGACGAUAAUGACGGUACCGGAAGAAGAAGCCCCGGCUAACUUCGUGCCAGCCGCCGCGGUAA
rnacentral:rRNA from 1 species